ACCCAAAAAGGUAAUAACAUUAUCAUACAGUACAGGAAGAACUAUUUUUUUUCCACCAGACCAAAAACCCACAACAUAAACUUAACAAAGUUCUUCUUGAAAAGCCUUGCUAAAAACUAAACCAGCAGACUACGCAGUCACAAGAGCUUUUUUCCUAAUUACAAACCCAAAACCUCGGAGAAACGCCAAAAUAAAGUAACAACGAAAGAUCUUCAAUCCCUAUAACCC
rnacentral:lncRNA from 1 species